rnacentral:rRNA from 1 species
AUUGAACGCUGGCGGCAGGCUUAACACAUGCAAGUCGAGCGGAGAGAGGUAGCUUGCUACUGAUCUUAGCGGCGGACGGGUGAGUAAUGCUUAGGAAUCUGCCUAUUAGUGGGGGACAACAUUUCGAAAGGAAUGCUAAUACCGCAUACGUCCUACGGGAGAAAGCAGGGGAUCUUCGGACCUUGCGCUAAUAGAUGAGCCUAAGUCGGAUUAGCUAGUUGGUGGGGUAAAGGCCUACCAAGGCGACGAUCUGUAGCGGGUCUGAGAGGAUGAUCCGCCAAACUGGGACUGAGACACGGCCCAGACUCCUACGGGAGGCAGCAGUGGGGAAAAUUGGACAAUGGGCGGAAGCCUGAUCCAGCCAUGCCGCGUGUGUGAAGAAGGCCUUAUGGUUGUAAAGCACUUUAAGCGAGGAGGAGGCUACUUUAGUUAAUACCUAGAGAUAGUGGACGUUACUCGCAGAAUAAGCACCGGCUAACUCUGUGCCAGCCGCCGCAGUAAAAC